GCGGCCCUCACCGGUCACCAAAGGUUUAUUUACACCUUCCCUAUCGGUGCUUUGUUUUUUGGUUCAACCAGAGUAUGCUCCUCCAUCCCCUACUUCCUUCGCAACUACAAAACCAAGUCCAAAAUCUCACAUUCUCAACCCUCUCCACCUCUCUCCUCCACCUCCUCAAACAAUGCAAAUCCUUAACCCAAGCAAAACUCCUCCACCAGCAACUCACCGUCAACGGCCUCACCUCCUCCCCGACCACCCUCAGCCGCCUUGUCGCCGCCUACCUGAACGGCGCCGCUUCCCCCUCCCACGCCCUUGCCUCGCUCGAGCGCCUCCCCCCCUCUCCCCUCUCCGUCUUUUACUGGAACGCCCUCAUCAAGGCACACCUCCGCCUCGGCUCUCUCCACGGCGCGCUCGGCCUCUUCGGUCGGAUGCGCGGACUCGGGUGGCGGCCCGACGGGUACACGUUCCCUUACGUUCUCAAGGCCUGCGGCGAGCUCCCCUCCUUCCGCCAUGGGAGUUCCGUGCACGGGGUUGUUUGUGCACUGGGGUUUGAGUCCAAUGUGUAUGUUUGUAAUGCUGUGGUUGCUAUGUACGGUCGUUGUGGUGCUUUGGAGAAUGCGCGCCAGGUGUUUGAUGAAAUGUCGAGGAGAGGUAUUGGGGAUUCGGUUUCAUGGAAUUCCAUUGUGUCUGCUUACGUGCAGAAUGGGGAACCUAGGACUGCACUAGAGAUGUUUGUUGAAAUGGGUUUGGAUAGUGGUUAUAGGUUCCGUGCUGAUGCUGUUAGCCUUGUUAAUAUCCUUCCGGCUUGUGCUGCCAUUGGGGCAUGUGGGAGGGGUAAGCAGGUUCAUGGUUAUGCAGUUAGAAAUGGCCUUUUAGAGGAUGUGUUUGUGGCUAAUGCGGUGGUUGAUAUGUAUGCGAAAUGUGGGUUGAUGGACCAAGCAACCCAGUUUUUUGAUCGAAUGGAGGUGAAGGACGUGGUUUCUUGGAAUGCAAUGGUUGCUGGGUAUUCACGAAUUGGUAGAUGCGAGGAGGCUCUCUGUUUAUUUGAGAAAAUGGUGGAUGUAGGUAUUGAGUUGAAUGUUGUGACAUGGAGUGCUGUUAUUGCAGGGUAUGCUCAGAGGGGUUUUGGGUAUGAAGCGAUCAACGUGUUCCGGCGAAUGCAAAUUUGUGGGUUGGAGCCAAAUGUUGUUACCCUUGUGUCCCUUCUGUCCGGCUGUGCUUCUGCUGGAGCAUUGCUUCAAGGGAAGGAGACUCAUUGCUACGCCAUCAAACGUGUUCUUAGUGUAGAUGGUUGUGAUACUGGGGAUGAAAUGAUGGUGAUCAAUGGUCUUAUUGAUGUGUAUUCUAAAUGUAGAAGGACCAAAGUUGCUCGAACUAUCUUCAACUCCAUAGCCUUUGAGAAGAGAAAUGUUGUGACCUGGACUGUUAUGAUAGGUGGGUAUGCCCAACUAGGGGAUGCCAAUGAUGCAUUGGAACUUUUCUCCGAUAUGCUGAAGGGGGAUAAUUCUUUAGUGCCAAAUGAAUUUACUAUAUCCUGUGCUCUGAUGGCUUGUGCUCGUCUUGGAUUGCUAAGAUUCGGCAGACAAAUUCAUGGGUAUGUGUUACGCAACCGUUAUGAGACUGUGAUGCUGUUCAUAGCCAAUUGCCUGAUAGACAUGUAUGCCAGAUCUGGAGAUGUUGACGCUGCUCGCAUCGUAUUUGAAACCAUGUGUCAUAGAAACACUGUCUCUUGGACAUCCCUAAUGGCAGGAUAUGGGAUGCAUGGUCAGGGUGAAGAGGCUCUUCAAGUUUUUGAGGAGAUGAGAAGUAUAGGUCUGAUGCCCGAUGGUGUAACAUUUGUCGUUGUACUCUAUGCUUGCAGUCAUUCCGGAAUGAUUGGUGAGGCAAUCAAAUACUUUGACAGCAUGAGCUCAAAAUUUGGGGUUGUACCGGGCAUAGAACACUAUGCUUGCAUGGUUGACCUGUUGGGUCGCUCUGGUCGUUUGAAUGAAGCUAUGAAACUGAUAGAAGGCAUGCCUAUGGAACCAAACCCAAUAGUAUGGGUGGCAUUGUUGAGUGCUUGCAGAAUCCAUGCACAUGUUGAAAUUGGGGAAUAUGCUGCAAAUAAAUUGUUAGAAUUGGAGUCAGAGGGUGAUGGAUCAUAUACUCUACUUUCAAAUCUAUAUGCCAAUGCUGGGCGGUGGAAAGAUGUGGCGAGGAUCAGAUCUUUGAUGAAGUAUACGAGGAUCAAGAAGAGACCUGGCUGCAGUUGGGUCCAAGGAAAAAAGGGCACAACAACUUUUUAUGUGGGGGACAGAUCACAUCCACUGUCUCAGGAAAUUUAUAAUGUUCUUGGAGACUUGAUUCACCGCAUCAAAGCCCUUGGCUAUGUGCCUGAGACAAGCUUUGCUUUACAUGAUGUAGAGGAUGAGGAGAAAGGCGAUACACUUUAUGAGCACAGUGAAAAACUAGCUCUUGCCUUUGGCAUCCUCACCUCUCCUCCUGGGAUGCCCAUUAGGAUCACCAAGAAUAUGCGCGUCUGUGGUGAUUGCCAUAAUGCCAUUACCUACAUCUCUAAAAUCAUCAACCAUGAAAUUAUACUCAGGGAUGCAAGUCGCUUCCAUCAUUUCAAGAAUGGAUCUUGUUCCUGCCGAGGGUAUUGGUGAAGACAGAAUGAUGCAUGUCUGCUGAAUAUUUGGAGACAUUAUGGAGUUGUGCCCCCAAAUGUACAUCUGAAAACCCUGGUACAAUCCAAUACUUCAUUGUCGAGGCCAAAAGCUGCUCUUUUUUCUGUCGCAAAAGAAAAAAAGAAGGGCUACCCCAGUGCACGUGGCUUUGGCUACUGCUGGGGUCUGGGAAUCGCAGCCUUCCUCCGCAAGUAGAGAGGUUGUUUCCACAACGCAUGAUAGAAAAUUCUGGGUAAUGGGAUGGACUCUGGACUUCAAUUAUGGUCCCAAUCUAUGAUCACCAAGGUAAUGGUCCAUAAAAAAGAGGGUGGAUCAAAGAAAAUAUAAAUGCCCAGAAGACAGGUCAUUCACCAAUAAUGGUACAGGAAGCAAUAGACGCAAUACAAGGGCAAAAAGGAUGAAGCAUAAGUGAAAGAUGCAGGAGAAUAGGAAUAAAAGGGGUCAUAAGAGAAGGAAAAGCAUGCCAGACAAGGAAACAAGGGAGUGGCUCUGGUAUCUCAAGAAUAUACGAGGAACAAAUGGUCCAGAAAGGAAAAGUAUGCCGAACCACUCACCUGAAAGUACUAAGGAAAUACGACUGAGUAAUGCUCAACCAAUGGAAACCCGAACCUUAAUCUCCCACAGCUAACUCUCAUCCUUUCUGUAUCAAGAGUCUCUUCCUUCUCUCUCUACCAAAAUUACCUGUUUAUCGGCCUCCCUGUCCUUAUUAGGUAUGGGCUACUUUCGGAUACUCUUAAGUUGCACAUCCUAAUAUUUAUGCAAUUGGGAUUGUAACAUUGUACCAUAGAACAAGAGUAUCAUUGUCUCGAUAGAUAUACGAAUAGUUUUUGGACAUUUAAAAGCUUAUUUUUUGAAUAUGAUUUUGGUUACUUUUAUAGAAGAACGAAAUGGUUAGAUUGAAGCAACAUACCAA